rnacentral:rRNA from 1 species
CGAACGCUGGCGGCGUGCCUAAUACAUGCAAGUCGAACGCACUUUCGUUAGAUUGAGAAGCUUGCUUCUGAUUGAUAACAUUUGAGUGAGUGGCGACGGGUGAGUAACACGUGGGUAACCUGCCCUAAAGUGGGGGAUAACAUUUGGAAACAGAUGCUAAUACCGCAUAAAACCUAGCACCGCAUGGUGCAAGGUUGAAAGAUGGUUUCGGCUAUCACUUUAGGAUGGACCCGCGGUGCAUUAGUUAGUUGGUGAGGUAAAGGCUCACCAAGACCGUGAUGCAUAGCCGACCUGAGAGGGUAAUCGGCCACACUGGGACUGAGACACGGCCCAGACUCCUACGGGAGGCAGCAGUAGGGAAUCUUCCACAGUGGACGAAAGUCUGAUGGAGCAACGCCGCGUGAGUGAAGAAGGUUUUCGGAUCGUAAAACUCUGUUGUUGGAGAAGAACGUAUUUGAUAGUAACUGAUCAGGUAGUGACGGUAUCCAACCAGAAAGCCACGGCUAACUACGUG